UGGUGUCGCUUGGAAUAUCCUGUCUGCUGGUCCCCACGUCACAUCAGAAGACUUAUCAGUUUCACGUACCAUCAACUUCAAAGUGUGCAUAAUGAUACAUUUCAUACAUGGUUCAAAACUCAUGUUGAAGAGCAGCUAAAUGCAAGAAAUUCUAACUUUUCAGAAGUAAUCAAAGCAUUAGCAAUGAGCCCUAAUCCUCGAGGGAGAAGUUUCAAGGCUUAUAUGAUUAAUGGAUUUCAUUUUCGUACAAAGGCUUUCGAAACUAGUAGAACAACUCAAAAUAGUGGAGUAAUGCUUAGGGCAAAAACUACUAGCUAUGCUAGUAGGAAAGAUAGGAAUCCAAUUGCUGGAGAAGUUAUUUACUAUGGAGUAUUGAAAAAUAUUAUUCAAGUACACUAUAGUAAUAGGAUGAAGUUUGUUAUGUUCAAUUGUGAUUGGGUUGAUAAUCAAAGAGGGAAAAUGGAAGAUGAUUUCAAAUUUACCUUGGUGAAUUUUGAUCAUCUAAUGUAUAGAGAUAAUCAGAUGGCGAAUGAACCAUUCAUAUUUGCUAAUCAAGCAAAGCAAGUAUUCUAUAGCAAUGAUCCAGUGGAACCCAAAUGGCAUGUUGUUCUGAAAAUGAGUCGCAGAGAUAAUUAUGAUGUUUACUCUUCUUUGGAUCAAGCAGAUUCAUAUUCUUCUCAAACUUUGGAUGAUAAUAUUCCUAUUAGGGAUGAGGAUAAUGCUUGGGUGAGGGAAGAUUUAGUUGUUGAUGGAGCCAUUGAUCUUGGACAAGACGAAGAAGUUGCAGAGAAUGAUGAAACAUAUUAGGAUUGUUUAUUGUAUUGUUAAUCUUUAAUAUACAUUUUUAUUUAUUAUUGAGUAGAGACUUGCUUUUUAAUUGUAUAUUUCUAUUUCAUUUUUAUUCUUCAUUUAUGCUUGAUGCAUAAUCAAUUUUUGAGUAUUAAUCUGAUUUAUUUAUAAUUUAAUAAGUGGUCAUCAAUGUUUUCUUUUCCAAGUUUAGCUUCAAAUGUGUAAUUGAUCUUUUUUGGCCUUUGGAUUGAUAUGUUGAUUUUUUUCAUUAUAGGUCAUCAUGGCUAGACAAAAAAAGAAAGGGACAACCAUGUUGGAAAAAUUAAAUGGUGAUCAAACAAAUGUGGUAAAAGGUAAUAUAUCUCAAGUGCAUCCUUCUACACGUGUAAUAGAGAAGCCGCAACAACAAAGGCCAAAUAACAUAUUACGUCCAAUAGUUCAUCAUCCACAAACAAGAUCCAAGCAUCAAUCACAAGUUCAACAAGCAUCAACAUUGCAAGCUCAAACUUUGGAGCUCAUUGAUGAACUACAAAACUCGCAAUCAAUUGAUCCACCUAAUUCACAACCUGAAUUAACCUUGCCAAAUUCAGGAGAAACUAAUAAUGGAGUGACUAAAAAACAAGGAAGAGGCCCUGCUCAGGGUAAUUUAUCUCAAGUGCAUCCUCCCACACGUGUACUAGAGAAACCACAACAACAAAGACCAAAUAAUAUGUUACGUCCAAGUUCAUCGUCCACAAACAAGAUCCAAGCAUCAAUCACAAGUUCAACAAGUAUCAACAUUGCAAGCUCAAACUUUGGAGCUCAUUGAUGAACAACAAAAUUCACAAUCAAUUGAUCCACCUAAUUUACAACCUAGUUUAACCUUGCCAAAUUCAGGAGAAACUAACAAUGAAGUUACUAAAAAGAGAGGAAGAGGCCCUGCUCAAGGGGAUUUACAUGCGGGUGAAAAGUUAAUAGUUGAUUUCAAUGAAUCAUUCCAGGCUAUUGGACCGAAUGCAGGGAAGUAUUCAUCAUUGCUUGGUCGAAUUGCUCGUAAUGGUGUCCAAGUUCCCUUAACAUAUGUGGAAUGAUCUGACAUGCCCACACAUGUUACAGAUUAUAUCUGGAAUGAAGUUCAAGAGAACAGCAAUGCCCCUCUAGCACAUAAGUCUGUAUGUCUUAAAUCUAUUGGCGACAAAUGGAGAAAGUGGAAGAAUAGAAUUAAAACUGAUUAUUUUAAUGGAAAGACGUAUGACCAAUUGUUAACCAAUGUUCCUAAUCGUGUUGAACCUGAGCAAUGGAGGAUUCUCAUCGAGUACAGACAAAUUUCAAGAAAUUUCAAAGAAAAAUGCACUCAAUAGAGAACUUGCGGGGCCAAUACAUAGGACCGGAAGGACUUCGAUGCCUAACUUCAAAAUAAAAGCAUGUAUAAUUAUAAUAUACUAUAUUUUUUUGGUAACAAAUUUAUAAAGAUUUGUCAUUUUUAUAUAGUUGGCAGCUGAUGGAAAGUCAACUGAUCCCUUAACAACAUACAUUGAGGCUCGUUCUAAAAAUGGAGUUCCAGCUGAUGCCGAGGCUGCAAAUUUAAUAGGUCAAAUGCAAGAAAAGUUAUCAGCGGUACCUAUUGAGGAUCAAACACCUGAGUUGAGACAGAAGAUUUUCAAUAGUUUCAUGGGAAAUCAAAGUCAUGGUUAUGUUCGCACUAUGGGUUUAGGUCAUAGUCCUUCUGAUAUGCGUACUCACCCUUUGUUAUCCAAUGAACAUUCAAAUGAGUUAAUAAAAAUGGCUACGGAGAAAGCUGUAGCAGAGUGUAUGAAAGUAGUGACUCCUUUCCUAAACCAAAUGAAAUCUCAAAUAGAUGCACUUCAAUCAAAGUUAGAGAAUCAUGAAUCCCCAUUGACUCAUCUUGGUAUGGAAUCCGGUGAAUUUAGAAAUCAAAAGGUUGCAGAUAAUAUUAUUUCACAUGAACAAGGAUUGUAAAACUAACAGGUGCAACAACUUGAAAGGCACAAAGAUAUUGACAAACACAUAAAUCAUCAUUUCUUAUU